UAGAGCGUAGUUUAAUGGUAAAAUGCAGAUUUCAGGGGACUUCUGUGGAUGCGGGUUCGAAUCCUGUUGCUCUAA
rnacentral:tRNA from 1 species